UACAGAGGUCCCAAGCGUUGUUCGGAUUUCUUGGGCGUAAAGAGCGUGUAGGCGGCCAGGUAGGUCUGCUGUGAAAACUCGAGGCUUAACCUCGAGCUGUCGGCGGAAACCAUCUGGCUAGAGUCCGGAAGAGGAGAAUGGAAUUCCCGGUGUAGCGGUGAAAUGCGCAGAUAUCGGGAAGAACACCCGUGGCGAAGGCGGUUCUCUGGGACGGUACUGACGCUGAGACGCGAAAGCGUGGGGAGCGAACAGG
rnacentral:rRNA from 1 species